GCCAGGUUCGGGCCGGGCGCGGGGGUAAUGAGGAGGGUCCGAGCGUUAAGCGGAAGUACUGGGCGGAAAGCGUGCGCAGGCGGUUUGUUAAGCUAGAUGUGAAAGCCCUGGGCUCAACCUAGGAAUAGCAUUUCGAACUGGCGAACUAGAGUCUUGUAGAGGGGGGUAGAAUUCCAGGUGUAGCGGUGAAAUGCGUAGAGAUCUGGAGGAAUACCGGUGGCGAAGGCGGCCCCCUGGACAAAGACUGACGCUCAGGUGCGAAAGCGUGGGGAGCAAACAGGAUUAGAUACCCGUGUAGUC
rnacentral:rRNA from 1 species